GACGAACGCUGGCGGCGUGCCUAACACAUGCAAGUCGAACGGGGAAACCCGCAAGGGUGAGUACAGUGGCGCACGGGUGCGUAACACGUGGGUAAUCUGCCCAGAAGCCCGGAAUAACUCCCCGAAAGGGGUGCUAAUGCCGGAUGAGACCACGGGGACUUCGGUUCCUGGGGGAAAAGGUGGCCUCUGUAUACAAGCUAUCACUUCUGGGUGAGCCCGCGGCCCAUCAGCUAGUGGGCGGGGUAAUGGCCAACCAAGGGUACGACGGGUAGCUGGUCUGAGAGGACGAUCAGCCACACUGGAACUGAGACACGGUCCAGACUCCUACGGGAGGCAGCAGUGGGGAAUCUUGCGCAAUGGGCGAAAGCCUGACGCAGCAACGCCGCGUGUGUGAUGAAGGUCUUCGGAUCGUAAAGCACUGUCGGGAGGGACGAAUAAGGGCCGGGUGAACAAUCCGGUUCGAUGACGGUACCUCCAAAGGAAGCACCGGCUAACUCUGUGCCAGCAGCCGCCGCUG
rnacentral:rRNA from 1 species